AUCCAAGUCCUGCUUUGGCCAUGCUGCUUUUCACCAAACGUGACCUUUGUCUCUUUGUAGCUGUUCAGAAAAUACAACAGGCCCCAAAAUGAAGUCACUUGUGAUGAGAUUAGAGCACAGAGGAGUUUUUCAUAGAAUGUGCAUUGACCCAUGGCUUUUGGAUAACCACACGUGUCCCAUCUAUAAACUUGAUGUCAUCAAAGCCCUUGGAUACUGAGAUGGUGAUCUGUGG